rnacentral:rRNA from 1 species
CCCGCACAAGCGGUGGAGCAUGUGGUUUAAUUCGAUGCAACGCGAAGAACCUUACCUACUCUUGACAUCCAGAGAACUUAGCAGAGAUGCUUUGGUGCCUUCGGGAACUCUGAGACAGGUGCUGCAUGGCUGUCGUCAGCUCGUGUUGUGAAAUGUUGGGUUAAGUCCCGCAACGAGCGCAACCCUUAUCCUUUGUUGCCAGCGGUUAGGCCGGGAACUCAAAGGAGACUGCCAGUGAUAAACUGGAGGAAGGUGGGGAUGACGUCAAGUCAUCAUGGCCCUUACGAGUAGGGCUACACACGUGCUACAAUGGCGCAUACAAAGAGAAGCGACCUCGCGAGAGCAAGCGGACCUCAUAAAGUGCGUCGUAGUCCGGAUUGGAGUCUGCAACUCGACUCCAUGAAGUCGGAAUCGCUAGUAAUCGUAGAUCAGAAUGCUACGGUGAAUACGUUCCCGGGCCUUGUACACACCGCCCGUCACACCAUGGGAGUGG